CUAAGCUUUGCUACACUCCCUAAACAAUUACACAACUCAUUGCCUCUCCUCUUUAAAAACAGUCCACGCCUCUCACAUCUUUAAAGGUGCCAGACCCAAUGAAGCCCGAAGCCUGUUCGCCUCGGCAAUCUCUGGAUCCGGAUGGUCGGUUCCAUCAGCCUUCUUCUCCUUCCUUUCUUUCUUCUUUUUCGGCUCCUCACGGCCAUUACCAUUCUCAUCAGGCCUCCUACGAG
rnacentral:misc_RNA from 1 species